GCGUACGUGGCGGAAUUGGUAGACGCGUUAGGUUGAGGGCCUAAUAACUAAAUAAGUUGUGGAAGUUCGAGUCUUCUCGUACGCACAA
rnacentral:tRNA from 1 species